GGAAACGAUUAUAUGUAGGCGACCAUCUAAAAUGACACAAGAACAACAAAAAGGCCCGGGGACCGGCAUUUGGUGUUCUACUUUCAUGCUCAAAGUCAAUGGCUAAAAAGAUUUCCUUUCUGAGCUCUCUUGACCAAAUGCAAUAAGGUCAGUGGCUCAGACGCUUAAGGAUGUGAUUGGUAUAAAUGUGUACACACACGCAGUAGAUUGACUCUAAAGUAUAUUGUAUGUAUAUAAUAAAUAUUUAUAAAGUUCAA